rnacentral:rRNA from 1 species
UCCUCCCUCUGGCGGCGUGCUUAACACAUGCAAGUCGAACGGAAAGGCCUGCUUUCCCUUGUGGAUUGCGGGUACUCGAGUGGCGAACGGGUGAGUAACACGUGAGUGAUCUGCCCCCAACUUGGGUAUAAGCCUGGGAAACUGGGUCUAAUUCCCGAUAGGACUGCAGGGUGGUGCCUGUUGUGGAAAACGAUUUUCUAGUGGUUGGGGAUGAGCUCGCGGCCUAUCAGCUUGUUGGUGGGGUAAUGUCCUACCAAGGCGGCGACGGGUAGCCGGCCUGAGAGGGUGGACGGCCACAUUGGGACUGAGAUACGGCCCAGACUCCGACGGGAGGCAGCAGUGGGGAAUAUUGCACAAUGGGCGGAAGCCUGAUGCAGCGACGCCGCGUGGGGGAUGACGGCCUUCGGGUUGUAAACUCCUUUCGACCGCGAGGAAGCCACCUGGUUGGAAGGGUGGUGACGGUAGUGGGAGAAGAAGCACCGGCUAACUACGUG